rnacentral:misc_RNA from 1 species
GAAAUGCGAUAAGUAGUGUGAAUUGCAGAAUUCAGUGAAUCAUCGAAUCUUUGAACGCACAUUGCGCCCCUCGGUAUUCCGUGGGGCAUGCCUGUUCGAGCGUCAUCUACACCCUCAAGCUCUGCUUGGUGUUGGGCGUCUGUCCCGCCUUCGCGCGUGGACUCGCCCCAAAUGCAUUGGCAGCGGUCCUUGCCCCCUCCCGCGCAGCACAUUGCGCUUCUCGAGGCUGCGGCGGCCCGCGUCCACCAAGCUGAACCCCCCCGCCUUUGACCUCGGAUCAGGUAGGGAUACCCGCUGAACUUAAGC